UUCUAGUUCACAGUCAAAUUUCACUUAAAAUCUAAGUUCUAUUUAUGGUUAGUAGACUCUUGUAUUGACGGUUUACAUAAUAUUGUAAAUAAUAAAUCUUUUUAUCUCUAAUUAUUAAAAAAUAUUUUUUAAUGUUUUUUUCAUUCAAGUUCUUGUAAUCAUAAAUUAUUGUCUUCAUGUGCAUGUUUUUUUAAGAUUAUGGUUAUGAAAAUUAGAAGGCAAGCUUAUGAUAAUAUAACAAUUGAAAAAAGUUCAACAUAACAAACAUAAAAAUAAGUUACUAUCUUAACACUC
rnacentral:lncRNA from 1 species